rnacentral:rRNA from 1 species
GUAGAGCACUGUUUGGACGAGGGGCCCCUCUCGGGUUACCGAAUUCAGACAAACUCCGAAUGCCAAUUAAUUUAACUUGGGAGUCAGAACAUGGGUGAUAAGGUCCGUGUUCGAAAGGGAAACAGCCCAGACCACCAGCUAAGGUCCCAAAAUAUAUGUUAAGUGGAAAAGGAUGUGGCGUUGCCCAGACAACUAGGAUGUUGGCUUAGAAGCAGCCAUCAUUUAAAGAGUGCGUAAUAGCUCACUAGUCGAGUGACACUGCGCCGAAAAUGUACCGGGGCUAAACAUAUUACCGAAGCUGUGGAUUGUCCUUUGGACAAUGGUAGGAGAGCGUUCUAAGGGCGUUGAAGCAUGAUCGUAAGGACAUGUGGAG